UUGAUUUCAGAGCUUCAGUCAGUGACGUCACAUCUUUAUGUGUAACAUUACAGUUGGACAACCUGAAGAGAGUAGCGUGGAUUUGUAAGCACAGGUCAGGUAGUUUGCUAUUAUGUUUUAGUUUAACAGUUGAUUGAGUCAGGUUUGAAUUUGACUUUUACCUCAGCUUCUCUAGUUUACAGUGAGGAUUCUGCAGUCCAACGCAGAGUUUCUUCACACCUGAGUCUUGUAGAUCAUUAAUACUCAGAUCCAGAUCUGUCAGAUUGGAGGUCUUUGAGCUCAGGUCCAGCACUUUCAGAUGAGAAGGAUUUAAACUCAGAGCUGAGCUCAGGAAAACACAGCCUGCUUCUGUUACACCACAGUUCUUCAGACUAUGGUGAGAAGAGAGAUUGAUGUUCUUCAAGCACAUUUUUGCCACUGUUGUGGAAGGAGAGAUGCACAUAUAGAGCUGCUAGAUGUUCCUGAAUGCUCAGAUGAACAAAGCAGAAGACUUUCCCCUGAUACCAACCAAACUCCUCUCUGAAGAUCUGAGUGCAC